CUGGGCAGCCUUCCCGUGGGGGAAUCCCGCUGCCUGGCUUCCAACCUUUGCCCUCCCGAUCGCACACACUGGCGCUGGUGGGGAAAUUGAGGCUGGCGGGGAGGGACUGCAUUCCAGAUGGAGAGAGGGACAAGUGGAUGGAUUUAUGGUGCCGGGGCUUGGAUUUGUGGCAGAGUUUCAAAGACAGGCUGGGCUUUGGGGGCCCCGCCCCGCCGCCCAAGCGCUCCCCUGUGCGGGGCUAGGGGAAGGCAGAGCACACCUCCUCCCUGGGUCUCUUCUCGACGUCGCAUAGAUGACCCGCACUUCGUCUCACUCGCUCCGGCUUCCCAGUGGACAGACUGUAACCUGGGACGGUGAUUUCCAUGGCGCCCGGGCGGCAAGAGAAGCGGUCAACACACAGGAAACACCUGAAGAAAGCUAUUCGGAUGGGCAACAAUGAGUGUCCCAAGCCUGCUGGCCCCGUCUUGCCUUCGUUGUCCCUGCCCUGAGAAACUACAAGGCUGCCUUCUGUGCUCAUCUCGUCACAGAUUAGCUGCCCCUUCUGUGGCCUAAGUCAGGAUCCUUUCCUUCUGACAGUGCAGUGGGUCUCCUCGGGAUCCACAGGUGGGACCUAGACGGUGCAAUUACUGCUGGUUGGCUUUCCCUUGAAGCUGAGGCCAGGGCGGGGUGGGGUGUCAGGGGACUGCGAAGGAUGUCUGAAGAAGAGAUCCAAGCCAGAUGGGUCAUCUUGGAAGUAAUCAAGCCAUAUCCUGUUGCAGUAUCCACCAUCCCCAACUGUCAUUACGUGCCUGGUAGGGAUCUUAGACAAAUAAUAAUUAUAGUUACCACG